rnacentral:rRNA from 1 species
UGAGGGAAUAUUUGGGGUCAAUGGACGAGAGUCUGAACCAGCCAAGUAGCGUGCAGGAUGACGGCCCUCCGGGUUGUAAACUGCUUUUAGUUGGGAAUAAAAAAGAUGACGUGUCAUCUAUUGUAUGUACCAUCAGAAAAAGGACCGGCUAAUUCCGUGCCAGCAGCCGCGGUAAUACGGAAGGUCCAGGCGUUAUCCGGAUUUAUUGGGUUUAAAGGGAGCGUAGGCGGAGAGAUAAGUCAGCGGUAAAAUCGUGCGGCUCAACCGUACCUCGCCGUUGAUACUGUUUUUCUUGAGUGCACACAGGGAUGCUGGAAUUCGUCGUGUAGCGGUGAAAUGCUUAGAUAUGACGAAGAACUCCGAU